AGGCCACAGACAAAGUUAGAUGCUUCCAAGUCAACUGUACAAAUGAAAUGCAUUUAAAAUGGCUCAAAUAACUGGCCCUUCAAACCACUGGCCCAUAUCCAAAUGUGAAGAGAUCGGCAAUUCUCAAGUGACAGAAACAACUAGCCAGUUGCCAUUUUUCAAUAACCACAGUGAUAUUGAAGUUAAAUAUGCUUGUCCUGAAGGCUUUGAGUACUUAGUCCAAGCACAUUGGUGGGAAAAUGCCUAAAUGAGGAAUUGCUGAGCCAAAGGGCUUGGCAAUAUACAUCAACCUUCUGCUAAGAGCCAAUGUGGACAACUGGGACGUGUAAAGCAGCUCAACAUGUUGCACUGAUGUUCAGAUUUAUAAGGAUCAGAUUAAGAAGAUCACACCUGGGAACAUCUGUGAUCACACCUGUGAAGACCACACCUGUGAUUAUGAGAGAAGGAAAGAAUCUCCAUGGAAGAAGGGUUUAAGGAAGAUGGGGCUACAGUGGAGAGAAUUCUGGGCUGAUUCAGAGUCUGUAGAAGAGGAAACUCCCCUGCUGUGGCCAUGGGACAGAGGAGUUCUCAAUGCCUCCCUUCUAGAACUAGAACUAAUAUGGAAGUGGCAUAAACAGAUAACACAACAGACAUAAAAUAUAAACAACAAAGGAGUCAAUUUUUUAUUAGCGAGGCCAACUCACACAAUCUUUCAAUUACAAAUUUCCACACCCUGAUUACAUGGCUAGCAGACUG